GUGCCAAGCUUCCACCAGCAACCCUCCUCAAGCCCUGGGCCUAGCCCUAACCCUGUGCGCUUCCUUACCAGAUAGCAAAAGGGAUGGGUCUUCUCUCCCCAUACCGGAAAAGCAAGCCGACACCCUCCAAGCUGUACUAUUACUAAUGGGAGACAAGCUUGAACCUGAAAUCCCUGAAGAAAGUCCACAGAAGAUCUAGGUGAAAAUGGAAACAUCUUCUCAAGUUGAUCUCAGCCCUCUUUGAUGUCCCCUGAACUCUGAGGACUCGAAAUUACCAUCCAGCAGGAAGGACGGGGCUCCUCUGGGGGCUGAGAAUUGUGAAAGAGGAGGAAAGAAACGAUGCCCAGAGAAGAAUGGAAUGUAUGGGGCAGGGGAGAACAGUGUUCGAGUACCAGUUGGCCUCUGUCCCAAUCUUCCUGAAGUCUGGCCCUGAAUAAAACCAAUAAUAACAAACACA